AUGUUUUGUUUUCAUUGUAAGUUCCACUAAAAGUGUAAAUUUUAUAAAAAAAUUAUUUCAGAGAAGGUGUAAUUUUCAGAAAAUCUGUCGAUCUUGGUCUCCGGCGCUGUCGAUCUUGAUCUCGGUCUGGCUCUGUCGAUCUUGAUCUUGGUCUGUCGAUCUGUUGAUCUGUCUUCUCUUCUCUGUCGAUCUCCGUCUCUCUCUCUCUCUCUCUCUCUGUCGAUCUCCGUCUCUUCUCUAUCGAUCUUCGUCGAUCUCGGUCUGUCUCUCUUUGUCGAUCGCUCUCCCAAACGCUUCGUCUCUCUUCGAAAUUCUAGAGAGAGAAACACCAAGCCCUCCCAAACGCCUCUUCUCUCACACAUUGCCAUUAUUUGAACAACAACACAAAUACAGUUUGAUUCGAUUGUAGGAGCUCUUCGCAAUUUUCGUUCCUCUCUCUACUCGAAAACAUCAACAGAUCUGGACUUGGGUAACUUCUUGGCUCCAAUUCGAUCAGGCAGCUGAGAUUCUUGCGAAGGAAGGGAUCAGUGCUGAGGUUAUAAAUCUUCGCUCAAUUAGGCCACUAGAUACGGCCACAAUCAAUGCUUCAGUUCAGAACACAAGUAGACUGGUGACAGUUGAAGAAGGGUGCCCUCAACAUGGUGUUGGUGCUGAAAUCUGAGUGGAAAAGCUUUUACUGCAAAGCGAAUGCAAGUGCUUGAGCUUGUAGGCAAGGAGACCAUGGAUCUUCUGAUUACAGAAACUGGUAUUGAAGUUCAUAAGAAGGGAGCGCAAGCACAAGAUGAUGAGGAUCAAUUGUUUGAAGAAGUGACAUUUGAUAGAUGCUUCUACAUAUACGGAGGAAUUGGAGUGUUUGUCCAACCACUAUGCUUUGUUAUUUAACCAAAGAAAAGCGAAGCAAUUAUCUGAAUAGAAGUCCUUUUAUGAAGGAAAGCUAAAACAGGUGCAACUAAUUUUCAGUUCAAGUUCUAAAAUUGAUGGAAGUGCCACAGCAUCAUAAAAUGGAAAGAAAACAGAGACUGGAGCUGACGGGAGUGCUGAUGAGAUGAAGAAUCUACAUAACUCAAGUGUCAAAAAGAUCCAAGCCAGAUCUAUUCCGUCACUUUUGGAAGGAAAAUAUAUUCUUGGAGCUACAAGGACAGGUUCUGGAAAGACCCUUGCUUUUCUGAUACCUGCUGUGGAGAAGUUACAUCAAAUCUGAACAGAGGUAAUUGUCAUCUGCCCAACUAGGGAACUUGCCAUACAGAUAAUUGAGUUACAGCUUCCUUCAUUUUUCAACAACUUUGAUCCUCGUGCUGCUGCUGCUAAUUUCCCUUCAGGUGUGCAAGCAUAUUUGGCUGGGCUUACAUUUGCAUUAGCCGCUUCACCUUGGAGCACUCCUGUGCUGGCAACCCUGCUUGGAUACGUAGCUGUAUCCAAGAUACUUUUAAAUGUUUAUUGGUAUCAAUUUCCAUUUGAAUUAUUACCUUUUCAAACUUUAUACUGAUUGUUCUAGGCCUAUAAUGAUGGCUUAGCACUCUUAUCUCUAUCUCUCAUGUUUGGAUGCAUCAUAUAUGCUAUGCAUUGCAUUUGAGCUUCUAAACCUAUUAUUUAAUUACAUAACAAGCAAGUCAACUUAGUAGACUGCAUUUAUCUUAACAUUCACAGUUGAGGGAGCAAAAUUGGCACAAUAUUGGUGGGGCCAAUAUUUGUUAUUUUAUAGGAAACCCAGUUUGUAAGAAGUCUACCCAAGAGAAAUUUUCAGACCCAGGAGGGGGCCAUGGCCCCCCUUCAUCCAAACAUAGGCCCACCCCUAGAUCCAUCUUUUAAGUUGAUAGUUUGCAUAAUGCUUACUGGUUGAUUAUUUAAUUCAAUCCUCAGUUCCAAUAUUGAGACAAAAAAUGCAGUCAUAAACAAAUAACUAAUGUGAAACUCCUAACAGGAUCCAGUAAUAGGGGGCAGCUUACUAUUGACAUACACAACUGGCUAUGUUGCUUCUCUACUUCUAGCUGCUUCUUUUGCAGGAGCAUUGCAGGUAUACUCUUUUUUCACUCGGUAAAAUCUUGUAUGUGAACUCUUGAUGUGCAUAACUUACUGCUGCUUUUCCCCUCCUUUCCGAGGUAUAUAUAGAUAGUGCAUCGUGGGCCCGGGCCAAAAUUAUGAUUGUUCCAAUGGCUUAGUGUACUUAGCCAAUGAUUUUGCAGGGCCUAUUAGGGAGACACUGGGACUAUGCCCAGAUCUUCCUACCAUCUGUAGGUGGAGGCCAAAUCCGUGUCAUCACUGAUAAACUGUUUGCCACUUUGUUUCAUUCUUACUCCUACACUUUUUGUUUGUCUAAUUUUUAUUGUUCGUUUGUAUCCUGGGCAAUUUCUAACACAAAUUGUCUGCAGAGCCUGCUUUCAUUCAGCAAAUUCUCAGCAUGGAUCAACCCAAUGAGGUGUUUUCUCCCUAUUUUUUAGCAUUAGGAUAAGUUGUGCUUGAGGUUCUUUUUUUGCAUUUACUCUUCAAUGUUCAUCUUCAUU